rnacentral:sRNA from 1 species
ACCAGGUGUAGUGGCGCACACCUGUAAUCCCAGCAACUCAGAAAGGUGAGGCAAGAGGAUGGUAAGUUUGAGGCCAGCCUCAGCAAUUUUGUGAGACCCUGUCUCAA